rnacentral:rRNA from 1 species
CACUUUCUUCCCUUCUGACAGAAUUUUACAACCCGAAGGCCUUCUUCAUCCACCCGGCGUUCCUGCUUCAGGGUUGCCCCCUUUGCCCAAAAUCCCUCACGGCUGCCUCCCGUAGG